rnacentral:rRNA from 1 species
GAUGAACGCUGGCGGCGUGCCUAAUACAUGCAAGUCGAGCGAACAGACGAGGAGUUUGCUCCUCUGACGUUAGCGGCGGACGGGUGAGUAACACGUGGAUAACCUACCUAUAAGACUGGGAUAACUUCGGGAAACCGGAGCUAAUACCGGAUAAUAUAUUGAACCGCAUGGUUCAAUAGUGAAAGACGGUUUUGCUGUCACUUAUAGAUGGAUCCGCGCCGCAUUAGCUAGUUGGUAAGGUAACGGCUUACCAAGGCGACGAUGCGUAGCCGACCUGAGAGGGUGAUCGGCCACACUGGAACUGAGACACGGUCCAGACUCCUACGGGAGGCAGCAGUAGGGAAUCUUCCGCAAUGGGCGAAAGCUUGACGGAGCAACGCCGCGUGAGUGAUGAAGGUCUUCGGAUCGUAAAACUCUGUUAUUAGGGAAGAACAAAUGUGUAAGUAACUAUGCACGUCUUGACGGUACCUAAUCAGAAAGCCACGGCUAACUACGUG